GAGGCCUUCCCAGACUCAGGGCCUGGCAGCACCAGCGGAGCUGCUCCCUUUACCAGGGGCCGUUUUAAAGGCGGAAGGAUGAUCCAUGAAAAUGCACACUCCGAGCAUCUACGCCGGAAACACAGAUGGGUGUUUGCUAGCCAUAAUGGGAAGCGACAAACAAAACAUCGUAUCUAAAAAAUGCUGACAACACAGUACGUGGCGGAAUCCCUGUUGCUGACUCUCAUGCUCACGUGGCUGGGAGCCGAGGCCGGCAGCUGCUGGCCAGUGUCACCAGAGAGUGCUGAAUUUCGUUAGCCCGGGAAAAGAUCAAAAUUCAAAAUUCGCAGUACAGCCUCUCCUGAAUAUGUCUCUCUCUUGCACCAUUGAAAAAUCGAAGUCAAACCAUCACAAGCCUGGGACCAUCUGUCCAAUUUUUCUGUAAUUGAUGUAUUCUGGCUUAACUCUGAAACAAGCUGGCUUCUCCUGUAAUUGAAAAGGUUUGGUGACUAUGGCAACACCCUUAUGUGCCCCCAAGGUCUGGGAGUUCUGCUUGUUGGGAAAGGGACAGGAGUUCUGCCUUUCCCGUCGGGUUUUGUUUUCAGACAAGCAGCACAUGUCUUUAGGCACAUUCAGGGUGCUCCGCAGCCUUAUCUCACGGAAUUUAAAAUCCAGCUGGGAAAUGUGGCGCCUCUUCUUCAUCCCCCUUCCUUAGCUCGUCCCUGCCCCCAGCCGUCCUGUAGUAUGUUCUAAUAUAAGAGCGUUCGGAUAUGUCUCUGUCGGACAUUCAGCAGCUUGGCAUCCUCUCUGUGAGCUGGUGCCCGGAUCUGGCAGCCUUGCAUCUACAGAGCCCGAAUGAUGAGCACCAUUGAGAAAUUGAGGAGCUAGGAACUUAACACUAAGGGAGGCACCCCACAUGCUCUGGGACCUCAAAGGGCCAGAAAUAGGAAUGUCGCCAAGUAUCAGACCCAAUGGGGAUGGAUGUCAGGCUGUUAACAACUUGGUUUGAAUUGCCUUCGACAUGGCUCCUGUGGGCUAAUGGUUGUGACCGUGGACUAGUAUAAGCCAAGAGCUUCAUCUGAGGCCAAACAUCUGGCACGCUGAGCUACAGCCAAGUUAUAGGGCCACAGGGACCUCUGGGGACGUUGCUUUUAAUCACCUUCCCCUACCGAAUACGCAUGAUCGCUCUGAAAAGAACAAAGUUAGGUCCAGACCAAUGGCACGACCGCUACAGCCAUCCUUCUCUGCCAAGGAGAAAGAACUAAGUGAAAGGCUGUAAUGAAGAAAGAUAAUAAUUUUAAAAUCAGUAUGUAUUAAUAUAAUUAAUAAUUAGGCCAUAGUAAGUCUUGAAAUGGUAUCAUGAAUAUGCUAGUAACAUGUUCUUCCCAAUUGAAUGCAUAGAUGGGCUGAGUAAUUUGAAAGUCAUAUAGUGCAUGUUGGUUUACAACAAAUAUUAAAUAUAUGUAGUGGAAAUAUAAA